AAGACCUUGCACUUUUGGAGCGGCCGAUGUCUGAUUAGCUAGUUGGUGGGGUAAUGGCCUACCAAAGCUUCGAUCAGUAGCUGGUCUGAGAGGACGGCCAGCCACACUGGGACUGAGACACGGCCCAGACUCCUACGGGAGGCAGCAGUGGGGAAUUUUGGACAAUGGGCGCAAGCCUGAUCCAGCAAUGCCGCGUGAGUGAAGAAGGCCUUCGGGUUGUAAAGCUCUUUCAGUCGAGAAGAAAAGAUUACGACUAAUAAUCGUAAUUCAUGACGGUACCGACAGAAGAAGCACCGGCUAACUACGUGCCAGCAGCCGCGGUAAUACGUAGGGUGCGAGCGUUAAUCGGAAUUACUGGGCGUAAAGGGUGCGCAGGCGGCCUUGUAAGUCAGAUGUGAAAUCCCCGGGCUUAACCUGGGAACU
rnacentral:rRNA from 1 species